UAGGGUUGCAGUUUACGCCGCUUAUUCAUCCAUGGUCUCUUCUUCAAUUCGUUUCGUAUAAUAAUCACGAUGCGAUGAAGAGAAACAGAGGAAUUUCAUCGAUUGCGGAUCAUUUCGCAACAUGAUUUCUCACACUCUUAUGGUCCCAGCAGGGAGGCGAGUUACUCUUAUUGUUGAGGCCUCUCUAACAAUGAAAUUUGAUACCCUUCGCAGAGUUAUUUGCCGAAUCGUAAGAUGUCCAGAUUUUUCAUUUUUGGUGCAUCUGGAACCCUCGGCUAUAUUUUA